rnacentral:tRNA from 14 species
CGGAUGUAGCCAAGUGGAUCAAGGCAGUGG